rnacentral:lncRNA from 1 species
AGGCGUCGAUUAGCAAGGUAAAGGUAACAGAACCAUGGCUCAGUUUCCGACACCUUUUGGUGGGAGCCUGGACAUCUGGGCCAUAACCGUGGAGGAAAGAGCCAAGCAUGACCAGCAGUUCCAGAGUUUGAAGCCGAUAUCUGGAUUCAUCACUGGUGAUCAAGCAAGGAACUUCUUUUUCCAAUCUGGGUUACCUCAGCCCGUCUUAGCACAAAUAUGGGCGCUGGCUGACAUGAAUAAGGACGGAAGGAUGGAUCAGGUGGAGUUUUCCA